GACGACCGCUGGCGGCGUGCCUAAUACAUGCAAGUCGAACGCAGUGGGGACGGGUGAGUAACAUGUGGGUAACCUCCCAUCAGAGGGGAUAACACUUGGACACAGGUGCUAAACCGAUACUGAUGGCUGGUCGCGCGGUGAAUUACCUAGUUGGUGAGGUAACGGAUCACCAAGGCCACGAUGCAUAGCGGACCUGAGAGGUUGAUCGGCCACACGGAGACUGAGACACGGCCCAGACUCCGACGGGAGGCAGCAGUGGGGAAUCUUCGUCAAUGGACGAAAGUCUGACCGAGCAACGCCGCGUGAGUGAAGAAGGUUUUCUGAUCGUAAAACUCUGUUGUUAGUGAAGCGGUAUCAAACCAGUAAGCCACGGCUAACUACGUGCCAGCAGCCGCGGUAAUUC
rnacentral:rRNA from 1 species